UAUACUCCACCGUCCCAUUAUAAGUGUAGCCAUAAGUUUUCGUGCCCAACAUUUGACUAUCCGUCUUAUUUGAAAAAUGUAUGAAAAAUUUGAAAAGUUAAAUCACGCAUAAAGUAUUAUUCAUAUUUUAUCAUCUAACAACAAUAAAAAUACUAAUCAUAAAAAUAUUUCAAAUAAGACGGAUGGUCAAAGAUGGGCAUUGAAACCCACAACUACGCUUAUUAUGGGAUGGAGAGAGUA
rnacentral:pre_miRNA from 1 species